UUAUGGCCAUAUCACGUUUAAACAACAGUUCCCGUACGAUCACCAAAGUUAAGCAAAGUCGAGACUGGUGAGUACCUAGAUGGGUGACCGCUUGGGAAUACCAGGUGAUGUA